rnacentral:sRNA from 1 species
UACAACGAUAUAACUGCGUGUGGUGCGA